GAUGAACGCUAGCGACAGGCCUAAACAUGCAAGUCGAGGGGCAGCACAUGAGUAGCAAUACGAUGGUGGCGACCGGCGCACGGGUGAGUAACACGUAUGCAACCUGCCUGUAAGCGGGGGAUAACCCGGAGAAAUUCGGACUAAUACCGCAUAAUACUGUGAAUUUGCAUGAAUUUCCAGUUAAAUAUUUAUAGCUUACAGAUGGGCAUGCGUAUGAUUAGAUAGUUGGUAGGGUAACGGCCUACCAAGUCAACGAUCAUUAGGGGUUCUGAGAGGAAGGUCCCCCACACUGGUACUGAGACACGGACCAGACUCCUACGGGAGGCAGCAGUGAGGAAUAUUGGUCAAUGGGCGAGAGCCUGAACCAGCCAAGUCGCGUGAAGGAAGACGGUUCUAUGAAUUGUAAACUUCUUUUGUAGAGGAAUAAAGUGGGUUACGUGUAGCCUUUUGUAUGUACUUUACGAAUAAGGAUCGGCUAACUCCGUG
rnacentral:rRNA from 1 species